rnacentral:sRNA from 1 species
GCUGGGUAUGGUGGUGCACUCCUGUAAUCCCAGUUAUUUGGGAGGCUGAAGCAGGAGGAUAGCAAGUUCGAAGCCAGCUUCAGCAAUUUAGUGAAGCUCUGAGUAACUUAAUGAGACCCUGCCUCAA